rnacentral:rRNA from 1 species
AGCGAACGCUGGCGGCAGGCUUAACACAUGCAAGUCGAACGCCCGGGCAACCGGGAGUGGCAGACGGGUGAGUAACACGUGGGAACGUACCCUUUGGUUCGGAAUAACUCAGGGAAACUUGAGCUAAUACCGGAUAAGCCCUUAUGGGGAAAGAUUUAUCGCCGAAGGAUCGGCCCGCGUCCGAUUAGCUAGUUGGUGAGGUAAUGGCUCACCAAGGCGACGAUCGGUAGCUGGUCUGAGAGGAUGAUCAGCCACACUGGGACUGAGACACGGCCCAGACUCCUACGGGAGGCAGCAGUGGGGAAUAUUGGACAAUGGGGGCAACCCUGAUCCAGCCAUGCCGCGUGAGUGAUGAAGGCCCUAGGGUUGUAAAGCUCUUUUAGCAGGGAAGAUAAUGACUGUACCUGCAGAAUAAGCUCCGGCUAACUUCG